CGGAGUGUAGCGCAGCCUGGUAGCGCACCUGCUUCGGGAGCAGGGGGUCGGGAGUUCGAAUCUCCCCACUCCGACCA
rnacentral:tRNA from 1 species